GCGAAGGCCAAACUCAGCAGCAUCAACAGUGGGAUGAGCUCAUCUCCCGUCUCCACGUAGGGCAUGGAGAGGUCGCGGUCAUGGCAACGGAAGCCCACCAUUGCCGGGGACAACACAUCUGUCAGUUCCAGGAAGUAUAGGGACACCAAAGAGGACAGGACGAUGGGGAGCUACAUAGAGGGCCUGACCCUGAGGCGGUGUAAGACAUGCAGAAUCAAAGACUUCUACGGUUUAAUUUCCAUGACCGCUGGAAAUGAAGAGGAGAUGAGAGUAGGAAAGGAGACAAGAGAAAAGACGAGGAGAGGAGCGGCGAGGCGACGAGAGGAGAAUAGGAAAGAACCGGGGACAAGAUAAGCGGAGAUCAAAGGCGUAAAAAAGACAAAUGGGGAAGUUACAGUGCUGUCUGCACAGCCAUAUCCACUGCUGGGCCCCGAGGAGGCAGGGACACAUGAAGGGCCAUAUGCUCGAG